AAGUCGUAACAAGGUUUCCGUAGGUGAACCUGCGGAAGGAUCAUUAACACGUAUCCAAACGUUAAACCCCCCUGUGAACCUUCACCUGUACUCGUACGUCCGUUAGAAAAAGCAGCAAUCUAAAUCAUCGCCGAACAGUUUUCGAUUCAGGGAUGUCUGCAAAAGUGUCAUUAACUGUGUAAGGAUGACGCAGUCACGAUCGUUGGAGGCCCACACGGCCGACGACCGGGUCACUGGGCGCAAGCCCCCCUAUAACAAACGCUGCUAAUCGCGGCCGCGAUAAUACGCAGUCGACCAAAAACCGAACAACUGUUAACAAUGGAUAUCUUGGUUCUCUC
rnacentral:misc_RNA from 1 species